UACGAAGGGGGCUAGCGUUGUUCGGAAUUACUGGGCGUAAAGGGCGCGUAGGCGGUGUGUCAAGUCAGGCGUGAAAGCCCCGGGCUCAACCUGGGAACCGCGCUUGAGACUGGCACGCUAGAGUUCGGGAGAGGAUGGUGGAAUUCCCAGUGUAGAGGUGAAAUUCGUAGAUAUUGGGAAGAACACCGAUGGCGAAGGCAGCCAUCUGGACCGACA
rnacentral:rRNA from 1 species